rnacentral:rRNA from 1 species
AUACGUAGGGGGCGAGCGUUGUCCGGAAUGAUUGGGCGUAAAGGGCGCGUAGGCGGCCCGGUAAGUCUGGAGUGAAAGUCCUGUUUUUAAGAUGGGAAUUGCUUUGGAUACUGUCGGGCUUGAGUGCAGGAGAGGUAAGUGGAAUUCCCAGUGUAGCGGUGAAAUGCGUAGAGAUUGGGAGGAACACCAGUGGCGAAGGCGACUUACUGGAAUGUAACUGACGCUGAGGCGCGAAAGUGUGGGGAGCAAACAGGAUUAGAUACCCUGGUAGUCCACACUGUAAACGAUGAAUGCUAGGUGUAGGGGGUAUCGACCCCUUCUGUGCCGCAGUCAACACAAUAAGCAUUCCGCCUGGGGAGUACGGCCGCAAGGUUGAAACUCAAAUGAAUUGACGGGG